rnacentral:rRNA from 1 species
UUGUUGGUAAGGGAAAAGCUUACCAAGGCUUCGAUCAGUAGCUGGUCUGAGAGGACGACCAGCCACACUGGGACUGAGACACGGCCCAGACUCCUACGGGAGGCAGCAGUGGGGAAUUUUGGACAAUGGGGGCAACCCUGAUCCAGCCAUGCCGCGUGAGUGAAGAAGGCCUUCGGGUUGUAAAGCUCUUUCAGCCGGAACGAAACGGUUACGGUUAACACCCGUGACUACUGACGGUACCGGAAGAAGAAGCACCGGCUAACUACGUGCCAGCAGCCGCGGUAAUACGUAGGGUGCGAGCGUUAAUCGGAAUUACUGGGCGUAAAGCGUGCGCAGGUGGUUUUGUAAGUCAGAUGUGAAAGCCCCGGGCUCAACCUGGGAACUGCGUUUGAAACUACAAGACUAGAGUGUGGCAGAGGGGGGUGGAAUUCCGCGUGUAGCAGUGAAAUGCGUAGAGAUGUGGAGGAACACCGAUGGCGAAGGCAGCCCCCUGGGUCAACACUGACGCUCAGGCACGAAAGCAUGGGGAGCAAACAGGAUUAGAUACCCUGGUAGUCCAUGCCCUAAACGAUGUCAACUAGUUGUCGGGCCUUUACGGGCUUGGUAACGUAGCUAACGCGUGAAGUUGACCGCCUGGGGAGUACGAUCGCAAGAUUAAAACUCAAAUGAAUUGACGGGGACCCGCACAAGCGGUGGAUUAUGUGGAUUAAUUCGAUGCAACGCGAAAAACCUUACCUACCCUUGACAUGUAUCGAAGCCCGCAGAAAAGCGGGGGUGCCCGAAAGGGAACGAUAACACAGGUGCUGCAUGGCUGUCGUCAGCUCGUGUCGUGAGAUGUUGGGUUAAGUCCCGCAACGAGCGCAACCCUUGUCAUUAAUUGCCAUCAUUUAGUUGGGCACUUUAAUGAGACUGCCGG